ensembl:ncRNA F43D2.11 ncRNA
CAACCAUACCUAACACAACCUGAAAAAAACAUAAAGAAAGUCAAGAAAUCAUCGGAAGUGUGUUGUCAUCGCAGUGCAUCAAUGUGAUGAGAUGCACAACAAAAAAGCUAAACCACAGCACAAAAUGAGUUGACAAGGCUCCGCCGCCGCCGCCGGCUCAUUUGCUCAUCAUCAGGAGCAGGCGGCCUGCUGCUGAUCCAUCAGAGAAUCAUGAAAAAGCGAGUAGAGAAAAGACAGGGGGCACGCAACAACAAAUUUGAUGUGGUGUUGGCUCGAUUGAAAUGACAAGAUGGAUGCGACACACCUAUUACUUUUGUGGCAAGAAGAAGAAAACAUGAAGAGAAAACA